ACGGAAGGCAGCAGUGGGGGAUAUUGCACAAUGGGGGAAACCCUGAUGCAGCGACGCCGCGUGAGUGAAGAAGUAUUUCGGUAUGUAAAGCUCUAUCAGCAGGGAAGAAAAUGACGGUACCUGACUAAGAAGCUCCGGCUAAAUACGUGCCAGCAGCCGCGGUAGUACGUAUGGAGCAAGCGUUAUCCGGAUUUACUGGGUGUAAAGGGAGCGUAGACGGCGAGGCAAGUCUGAUGUGAAAGCUAUGGGCUCAACCCAUAAACUGCAUUGGAAACUGUCUUGCUUGAGUGUCGGAGAGGUAAGCGGAAUUCCUAGUGUAGCGGUGAAAUGCGUAGAUAUUAGGAGGAACACCAGUGGCGAAGGCGGCUUACUGGACGAUAACUGACGUUGAGGCUCGAAAGCGUGGGGAGCAAACAGGAUUAGAUACCCUGGUA
rnacentral:rRNA from 1 species